UCGGCGUGUCAUCCACAUGAGAGAGUUGGU
rnacentral:piRNA from 1 species